AGUGAACGCUGGCGGUAGGCCUAACACAUGCAAGUCGAACGGCAGCACAGUAAGAGCUUGCUCUUACGGGUGGCGAGUGGCGGACGGGUGAGGAAUACAUCGGAAUCUACUUUUUCGUGGGGGAUAACGUAGGGAAACUUACGCUAAUACCGCAUACGACCUACGGGUGAAAGCAGGGGAUCUUCGGACCUUGCGCGAUUGAAUGAGCCGAUGUCGGAUUAGCUAGUUGGCGGGGUAAAGGCCCACCAAGGCGACGAUCCGUAGCUGGUCUGAGAGGAUGAUCCGCCACACUGGAACUGAGACACGGUCCAGACUCCUAAGGGAGGCAGCAGUGGGGAAUAUUGGGCAAUGGGCGCAAGCCUGAUCCAGCCAUACCGCGUGGGUGAAGAAGGCCUUCGGGUUGUAAAGCCCUUUUGUUGGGAAAGAAAAGCAGCAGGUUAAUACCCCGCUGUUCUGACGGUACCCAAAGAAUAAGCACCGGCUAACUUCGUG
rnacentral:rRNA from 1 species